AGUCCAGAGCACACAGCUGGGGAGACAGACCCAAGAAGGAACCUGACAUGGUGACCCAGACAGAGCCAGGAGAGAAGCCAUGAGCUUGGCUCACACAGAUUCUGACUGUGAGAAGAGGAAAGAGAUGGAAGGCAACUUUAAGAACAGGAAACAAACUCACACAUCCAGAGGAAGUGCAUAGGUCGGGGCAACGAAGAGCCUGAAAUCACAUAGAUGGCAAGACAAGAGUCGAUCCUAACAAAACCAAGGAAUAUGUCAAUGCAAAGACUGGGCCACAUGAAGCUCCGGAUUUCUGAAGGUGACAAGAUGAUCUCUAAGAUUCCUUCCAAUGUUAAUCACAAACAAAACACCUGAAUCAAUCCCUCAGAGGUUCAUCAACUUCUGUGGGUUCUAUAGAGUUGAGAUGCAGAUGUGAGGUGGUGAAGAGGGCCUAAAGGCAUUUCUGUGAUGGGCCCUGAGGGAAGACCGGGAAGAAAACAAAGUCCCUGGCCUGUGUAGCUCCCAGCCCUGCUGGAGGUCAUAGUAGAAAGUAGUAGACUGGGACAAGGUCUAUAGUCAACUGACUCCAUCCUCUCUUCACCACUCAGAGUUGCCCUUGGAGAAGAUUUCCUAAAAGAGGUAUCUGGUGUUUCUUGAUUGUUAAGGAAGGGAGGAAGUUUUGGUUUAUUAAAAGAGAGAGAAUUUUUCUGGCUAAUGUGUGGCCCAUGAGCCACAGACUUCGCAUCACCUGGGAGCUUGUUAUAAAGGAAGAAUCACCAGUCACAGUCUUCCAGAAUCAGAACUUCAACAAGAUCUGCAGAUGUUUCAUAUGUACAUUCAAGUUGGUAGUGCAUGGGAUAGAGGACAUGAUUUAGAUUCAGACCCGGGUUCAAAUUCCCAUUCUACAAAUAAGACCUUGGGCAGUUUACUGAAUUCCUGUGGGUUUCACUUUCCUCACUCAUAAACUAGGAAAGAUGAUGCCCAUUGCACAAGCUUGUUGGAAGACUAAGGGAGCAAUGUUAACUUCAGUGCUGCUAUUCAGUAUGUCAGUAUGCCAUCCAUGAAUGGUACUUCUUUUCUGCCCCAUCUUCCCUUCCAAAAAAAAAAAAAAAAAAAAAAAAGCAUUUCCUCUUCAAGAAUGUGCACACUACAGAAUCUGUUCUCUGAAAUAAAAUGCUUCUGAAAUACUAAUCAUAUCCAUUUGACCAGUGCUUUGCAAUGUGGUAGC